GCCUUCAUGGUGUAGUGGUCAGCACGCUCGCCGUGUAACCGAGAGGUCCGUGGUUUGAUUCCCGGUGAAGGCA
rfam:Stegodyphus mimosarum contig91724, whole genome shotgun sequence.